rnacentral:rRNA from 1 species
UAGGGAAUCUUCGGCAAUGGACGAAAGUCUGACCGAGCAACGCCGCGUGAGUGAAGAAGGAUUUCGGAUCGUAAAACUCUGUUGUUAGAGAAGAACAAGGACGUUAGUAACUGAACGUCCCCUGACGGUAUCUAACCAGAAAGCCACGGCUAACUACGUGCCAGCAGCCGCGGUAAUACGUAGGUAGCAAGCGUUGUCCGGAUUUAUUGGGCGUAAAGCGAGCGCAGGCGGUUUCUUAAGUCUGAUGUGAAAGCCCCCGGCUCAACCGGGGAGGGUCAUUGGAAACUGGGAGACUUGAGUGCGGGAGAGGAGGGUGGAAUUCCAUGUGGAGCGGUGGAAUGCGUAGAUAUAUGGAGGAAAACCGGUGGCGAGGGCGGCUCUCUGGUCUGUAACUGACGCUGAGGCUCGAAAGCGUGGGGAGCAAACAGG